AUGGAAACACCGCGAGAACAUAUUCGCGUCUGUAUCACAGGAACGCAGAAGUGCAUACAUAAAGUCUCUGAACUUCGGCGAGCGUCAUCUUCUUCGGCUCCUACUCUGACUGAUAUUGGUUUAAGUUGGCGUUCAUCUAUUGGCGAUUGGGAAGGUUCAAUACAUUUUAGCCAAGGUUUGGUGGUGGCAACGGAAGCAAAUUCGCCGGAAAUCACAUAA